CCCUUAGAUGUUCUGGGCCGCACGCGUGCUACACUGACCGGCGCAACAAGCUUUUUUCCCUGGCUCGACAGGCCUGGGUAAUCUUCGAACGCCGGUCGUGAUGGGGAUAGAUCCUUGCAAUUUUUGAUCUUCAACGAGGAAUUCCUAGUAAAUGCGAGUCAUCAUCUCGCGUUGAUUACGUCCCUGCCCUUUGUACACACCGCCCGUCGCACCUACCGAUUGAAUGGUCCGGUGAAUAAUUCGGACUGCAGCAGCGUGGGGACUCCUCAUACUGCAGCGGAAAGUUUGGUGAACCUUAACACUUAGAGGAAGGAGAAGUCGUAACA
rnacentral:rRNA from 1 species